GAGUUUGAUCUUGGCUCAGAUUGAACGCUGGCGGCAGGCCUAACACAUGCAAGUCGAGCGGUAGAGAGAAGCUUGCUUCUCUUGAGAGCGGCGGACGGGUGAGUAAUGCCUAGGAAUCUGCCGUGGUAGUGGGGGAUAACGCUCGGAAACGGACGCUAAUACCGCAUACGUCCUACGGGAGAAAGCAGGGGACCUUCGGGCCUUGCGCUAUCAGAUGAGCCUAGGUCGGAUUAGCUAGUUGGUGAGGUAAUGGCUCACCAAGGCGACGAUCCGUAACUGGUCUGAGAGGAUGAUCAGUCACACUGGAACUGAGACACGGUCCCAGGACUCCUACGGGAGGCAGGCAGUGGGGAAUAUUGGACAAUGGGCGAAAGCCUGAUCCAGCCAUGCCGCGUGUGUGAAGAAGGUCUUCGGAUUGUAAAGCACUUUAAGUUGGAGGAAGGGCAGUAAAUUAAUACUUUAGCUGUUUUGACGUUACCGACAGAAUAAGCACCGGCUAACUCUGUGCCAGCCGCCG
rnacentral:rRNA from 1 species